UACCAGACUCCUACGGGAGGCAGCAGUGGGGAAUAUUGCACAAUGGGGGAAACCCUGAUGCAGCGACGCCGCGUGAGUGAAGAAGCGCCUCGGCGCGUAAAGCUCUGUCAGCAGGAACGAUAGUGACGGUACCUGAAGAAGAAGCCCCGGCUAACUACGUGCCAGCAGCCGCGGUAAUACGUAGGGGGCAAGCGUUAUCCGGAUUUACUGGGUGUAAAGGGAGCGUAGACGGCAGCGCAAGUCUGGAGUGAAAUGCCGGGGCCCAACCCCGGAACUGCUCUGGAAACUGUGAAGCUGGAGUGCAGGAGAGGUAAGCGGAAUUCCUGGUGUAGCGGUGAAAUGCGUAGAUAUCAGGAGGAACACCGGCGGCGAAGGCGGCUUACUGGACUGUAACUGACGUUGAGGCUCGAAGGCGUGGGGAGCAAACAGGAUUAGAUACCCGAGUAUCU
rnacentral:rRNA from 1 species